rnacentral:rRNA from 1 species
CCGACAAGCGGAGGAACAUGUGGUUUAAUUCGAUGAUACGCGAGGAACCUUACCCGGCUUGAAAUGCAUCUGACCGGCCUUGAAAGAGGCACUCCCUUCGGGGCAGAUGUGUAGGUGCUGCAUGGUUGUCGUCAGCUCGUGCCGUGAGGUGUCGGCUUAAGUGCCAUAACGAGCGCAACCCUCAUCAUUAGUUACCAUCAGGUAAGGCUGGGGACUCUAAUGAGACUGCCAUCGUAAGAUGUGAGGAAGGUGGGGAUGACGUCAAAUCAGCACGGCCCUUACGUCCGGGGCGACACACGUGUUACAAUGGGUGGUACAAAGGGCAGCUACCUGGCGACAGGAUGCUAAUCUCGAAAACCGCUCUCAGUUCGGAUCGGAGUCUGCAACUCGACUCCGUGAAGCUGGAUUCGCUAGUAAUCGCGCAUCAGCCACGGCGCGGUGAAUACGUUCCCGGGCCUU